rnacentral:rRNA from 1 species
GACGAACGCUGGCGGCGUGCUUAACACAUGCAAGUCGAGCGAGAACCCAGGCUUCGGUCUGGGGGAAAGCGGCGAACGGGUGAGUAACACGUGGGUAAUCUGCCCUCGACAUCGGGAUAGCCCGGGGAAACCCGGAUUAAUACCGAAUGGCCCAUCAGCUUUUCGAAGCGGAUGGAAAAGGUAGCUUCGGCCUCCGGUCGAGGAGGAGCCCGCGGCGGAUUAGCUUGUUGGUGAGGUAACGGCUCACCAAGGCUUCGAUCCGUAGCUGGUCUGAGAGGACGAUCAGCCACACUGGGACUGAGACACGGCCCAGACUCCUACGGGAGGCAGCAGUGGGGAAUCUUGCGCAAUGGGCGAAAGCCUGACGCAGCGACGCCGCGUGAGGGAAGAAGGCCUUCGGGUUGUAAACCUCUUUCAGGAGGGACGAAGCCACUCGGGUUAAUAGCCCAGAGGGUGACGGUACCUCCAGAAGAAGCCCCGGCUAACUACGUGCCAGCAGCCGCGGUAAUACGUAGGGGGCUAGCGUUGUCCGGAUUUACUGGGCGUAAAGAGCGCGCAGGCGGUCGUUCAAGUCGCGUGUGAAAGCCCCCGGCUCAACUGGGGAGGGUCACGCGAUACUGAUCGACUCGAAGGCAGGAGAGGGAAGUGGAAUUCNCGGUGUAGUGGUGAAAUGCGUAGAUAUCGGGAGGAACACCAGUGGCGAAGGCGACUUCCUGGCCUGUUCUUGACGCUGAGCGCGAAAGCUAGGGGAGCGAACAGGAUUAGAUACCCUGGUAGUCCACGCCGUAACGGUGGGUGCUAGGUGUGGGGGANUUCCACGUCCUCCGUGCCGCAGCUAACGCAUUAAGCACCCCGCCUGGGGAGUACGG